rnacentral:rRNA from 1 species
CGGCAAAAGCUCAAAUUUGAAAUCUGGCCUCUUCGGGGUCCGAGUUGUAAUUUGGAGAGGAUGUUUCGGGCACGGUCCGGGCUUAAAUUUCUUGGAACAGAAUGUCACAGAGGGUGAGAAUCCCGUCUGGAGUCUGCGACACGGCCUAUGUGAAACUCCUUC